rnacentral:siRNA from 1 species
ACAAUUUAGGUCAAUCUUCUCGUA